AGAAAAAGGCCAUGAAGCACUUGCUGUUGGGUCCUUCCGUGUAACACCCGUGACGUUGGAAAGAGGAAGCGCCCGGAGCUGGAGCUGUGCGGGCGAUCCCGCGCCGCUGCUGGCGUGUCCUCACCUGCUUAUCUCUCCACUUCCCCCACUCGUGGGGCAUCUGCCUCCCAGAGCAGUGGGGCUGCCUCAGAAGUGCUCCCUGAGAGGCUCCAGGGACAGCUGCGUCCACAGCACGGUGCUGGAUCUCACGGUUUCCCACGGAUUAAUGCCCAAGCACAGCAUUUGCAUCGUUCCUGGAGGCUUUGGAGGGAACCCAGUUCAGAUCCAGAUUUAUGGAUGGAAUUAGAGGAAGGUGAGAAUACACCCCCAACUAUACUCUUCUGAGGGCUGUGCAGCUCCUGUGCUGACUGCAGCAGCCUCAAUCCCCGACUUUCACUCAGAGCACUCUUUGCACCAGAGUCUUGUCUUAAAUAAGAAAACUUCACACCCCUGUGAUGACACCAGGCAUCCUCUGAGGGAUGUGUGGAAGUUCCUGAGGAUUGAAAAGCAGGUGGGAGAAAACCAAAGAAACUCCUGACACAUAAUACUGUGCCUCUUUAGAGCUCAAGAUAUUUUCGAGGGUAUGUGCCAAGCAUCUACUUUAUGAAUUGCCUCUGGGACAGGGAAGGUUCUGGGAAGUGUAGAAAACCACUAAUGGGACAUGGGCACAGACAGUGGUGCUUCCCUGGGAGAGAUGAUAACUGUGUGUGGAGAACCUGAUCUGUUGUGGUGCUGCAGAGGGGGAAAUUGUGCAAAGUAGAUGCCAAAAUGCUCUCCUACGCUAGCUGCUCUCUUCUGCUUCUUCUCUCUUUUCUAGCCCUGCUCACUGCCAACAUAAACCUACAGCAGGGAGAUUAAAUACGUAUUAAGUGAGCUAAGGUUUAUGGAUUUGGAAAGAUUUGCCAGAA
rnacentral:lncRNA from 1 species